rnacentral:rRNA from 1 species
AUGGGGUGCAGCAGGCGCGAAAACUUCGCAAUGUGGGAAACCACGACGAGGGGAUUCCAAGUGCUCAUGGAAUUCCAUGGGCUGUUUUCCUACCUAAAAACCAAGGAGAGAAAGGGCUGGGUAAGACGGGUGCCAGCCGCCGCGGUAAUACCCGCAGCUCGAGUGGUGAUCGUUAUUGUUGGGCCUAAAGCGUCCGUAGCCUGCUCAGUAAAUCCUUGGGUAAAUCGGGCAGCUUAACUGUCCGAAUUCCGGGGAGACUGCUGAGCUUGGGACUGGGAGAGGUAGGAGGUACUCCGGGGGUAGAGGUGAAAUUCUGUAAUCCUCGGGGGACCACCAGUGGCGAAGGCGUCCUACUUGAACGGGUCCGACGGCGAGGGACGAAGCCCUGGGGCACAAACCGGAUUAGAUACCCGGGUAGUCCAGGGUGUAAACGCUGCGGGCUUGGUGUUGGGGGUCCUACGAGGGCGUCCAGUCCCGGAGAGAAGUUGUUAAGCCCGCCGCCUGGGGAGUACGGUCGCAUGACUGAAACUUAAAGGAAUUGGCGGGGGAGCAC